UACCAGCACCCCGAGUGGUUGGGACGAUUAUUGGGCCUAAAGCAUCCGUAGCCGGUCCUACAAGUCUUCCGUUAAAUCCACCUGCUUAACAGAUGGGCUGCGGAAGAUACUAUAGGGCUAGGAGGCGGGAGAGGCAAGCGGUACUCAGUGGGUAGGGGUAAAAUCCUCUGAUCCAUUGAAGACCACCAGUGGCGAAGGCGGCUUGCCAGAACGCGCUCGACGGUGAGGGAUGAAAGCUGGGGGAGCAAACGGG
rnacentral:rRNA from 1 species